rnacentral:rRNA from 1 species
CCUACGGGUGGCAGCAGUGAGGAAUAUUGGUCAAUGGACGAGAGUCUGAACCAGCCAAGUAGCGUGAAGGAUGACUGCCCUAUGGGUUGUAAACUUCUUUUAUAUGGGAAUAAAAUGUUCCAAGUGGGGGAUUUUGUAUGGACCAGAGGAAUAAGGAUCGGCUAAAUACGUGCCAGCAGCCGCGGUAAUAAGGAGGAUCCGAACUUUAUCAGGAUUUAUUGGGUUUAAAGGGAGCGUAGGUGGAUUGUUAAGUCAGUUGUGAAAGUUUGCGGCUCAACCGUAAAAUUGCAGUUGAAACUGGCAGUCUUGAGUACAGUAGAGGUUGGCGGAAUUCGUGGUGUAGCGGUGAAAUGCUUAGAUAUCACGAAGAACUCCGAUUGCGAAGGCAGUUCACUGGACUGCAACUGACACUGAGGCUCGAAAGUGUGGGUAUCAAACAGGAUUAGAUACCCUUGUAGUC